GAGCGAACGGACGAGAAGCUUGCUUCUCUGAUGUUAGCGGCGGACGGGUGAGUAACACGUGGAUAACCUACCUAUAAGACUGGGAUAACUUCGGGAAACCGGAGCUAAUACCGGAUAAUAUUUUGAACCGCAUGGUUCAAAAGUGAAAGACGGUCUUGCUGUCACUUAUAGAUGGAUCCGCGCUGCAUUAGCUAGUUGGUAAGGUAACGGCUUACCAAGGCAACGAUGCAUAGCCGACCUGAGAGGGUGAUCGGCCACACUGGAACUGAGACACGGUCCAGACUCCUACGGGAGGCAGCAGUAGGGAAUCUUCCGCAAUGGGCGAAAGCCUGACGGAGCAACGCCGCGUGAGUGAUGAAGGUCUUCGGAUCGUAAAACUCUGUUAUUAGGGAAGAACAUAUGUGUAAGUAACUGUGCACAUCUUGACGGUACCUAAUCAGAAAGCCACGGCUAACUACGUGCCAGCAGCCGCGGUAAUACGUAGGUGGCAAGCGUUAUCCGGAAUUAUUGGGCGUAAAGCGCGCGUAGGCGGUUUUUUAAGUCUGAUGUGAAAGCCCACGGCUCAACCGUGGAGGGUCAUUGGAAACUGGAAAACUUGAGUGCAGAAGAGGAAAGUGGAAUUCCAUGUGUAGCGGUGAAAUGCGCAGAGAUAUGGAGGAACACCAGUGGCGAAGGCGACUUUCUGGUCUGUAACUGACGCUGAUGUGCGAAAGCGUGGGGAUCAAACAGGAUUAGAUACCCUGGUAGUCCACGCCGUAAACGAUGAGUGCUAAGUGUUAGGGGGUUUCCGCCCCUUAGUGCUGCAGCUAACGCAUUAAGCACUCCGCCUGGGGAGUACGACCGCAAGGUUGAAACUCAAAGGAAUUGACGGGGACCCGCACAAGCGGUGGAGCAUGUGGUUUAAUUCGAAGCAACGCGAAGAACCUUACCAAAUCUUGACAUCCUUUGACAACUCUAGAGAUAGAGCCUUCCCCUUCGGGGGACAAAGUGACAGGUGGUGCAUGGUUGUCGUCAGCUCGUGUCGUGAGAUGUUGGGUUAAGUCCCGCAACGAGCGCAACCCUUAAGCUUAGUUGCCAUCAUUAAGUUGGGCACUCUAAGUUGACUGCCGGUGACAAACCGGAGGAAGGUGGGGAUGACGUCAAAUCAUCAUGCCCCUUAUGAUUUGGGCUACACACGUGCUACAAUGGACAAUACAAAGGGCAGCGAAACCGCGAGGUCAAGCAAAUCCCAUAAAGUUGUUCUCAGUUCGGAUUGUAGUCUGCAACUCGACUACAUGAAGCUGGAAUCGCUAGUAAUCGUAGAUCAGCAUGCUACGGUGAAUACGUUCCCGGGUCUUGUACACACCGCCCGUCACACCACGAGAGUUUGUAACACCCGAAGCCGGUGGAGUAACCUUUUAGGAGCUAGCCGUCGAAGGUGGGACAAAUGAUUGGGGUGAAGUCGUAACAAGG
rnacentral:rRNA from 1 species